AGAGCGAACGCUGGCGGCAUGCUUAACACAUGCAAGUCGCACGGGCAGUAGUGAUACUGUUAGUGGCGGACGGGUGAGUAACGCGUAGGAAUCUAUCCUUGAAUGGGGGACAACCGUGGGAAACUACGGCUAAUACCGCAUGAUGCCUGAGGGCCAAAGACGAGAGUCGUUUGGGGAGGAGCCUGCGUCUGAUUAGCUAGUUGGUGGGUAAAGCCUACCAAGGCGUCGAUCAGUAGCUGGUCUGAGAGGAUGAUCAGCCACAUUGGGACUGAGACACGGCCCAAACUCCGUACGGGAGGCAGC
rnacentral:rRNA from 1 species